rnacentral:tRNA from 6 species
CACUUCAAUGGAUUGGGAAAUUUCGCCUUUGGUGGAGGCGAUAUCUUCGCCGCGCAGGACGAAUUUAUUGUUCAGAACGGCGUGGAAAUGG